UACGUAGGUGGCGAGCGUUGUCCGGAUUUACUGGGCGUAAAGUGCGCGCAGGCGGCAGUCUAAGUCCUCUGUGAAAUCACCCGGCUCAACUGGGUGGCUGCGGAGGAGACUGGGCAGCUUGAGGGGCCUAGAGGCCGGUGGAACUCCCGGUGUAGUGGUGAAAUGCGUAGAGAUCGGGAAGAACACCAGUGGCGAAGGCGGCCGGCUGGGGGUGCCCUGACGCUGAGGCGCGAGAGCGUGGGGAGCAAACCGG
rnacentral:rRNA from 1 species